GGCUCAGUAGCGGAUGGUCCGCGUCUACUUCUAAUGGUACUUUCGCUCAAUGCGAAUGCAGAUCCCGCCUGUUCGAAUCAGGUCUGAGCCA